UAAGAGAUGAUACACGUUCCAUCACCGAUGUGGAUUUCUGUGUUUGUUUCUGGUGGCUGGUCCCAGGAACCUCCUCCUGAACUGUUUGUCUUCUCAAUUCACCUCUGCCCUGUGCUUCUGAAGGAUCCUAAUGACUGUGACGGGCGCCUAUAACUGAUCGGAGCUGACACUGAGGCAUCUGCCCCUUCCCGCAGAUGACAAGGCUCCUCUCCUGUUGGAAGCGGUACUUCCCUCGGCUGCCCUGCGUCUUCCAGGUUCACCUGACUGCCUGCUUCUUUUCCAGGGUCUGACUUCUGGGUCCUCCUCACCACAGUCAGUUCCGAUCCAGGAGUGAUAUUAAUGGAAUGAUCUUCAGGGAAAAAGAAGGAAAUCUUUGUGUUUAUAUGAUGGAGUCUAGAGAAAGAAGUGGCAAGGCACCAUCCCUGC